ensembl:lncRNA
ACAAAAAGUCGCGAUGGGCUCUCGGGAGACCUGGGGCUUUCUCCAGUGAUUCCGGACACUUGCUUCUGUUCCUGGGUUGAAAAUACCACCGGAAGCAGCAUUUUCUGAUGAGAUUACAGCACUUCUAGGCCAGUUUCCGAAGCAGAGGGGGAAACAAACGAAAAUGAAAAAAAGAAAAAGGAAAAAAUGGAGGCUGUGACCUACCUGGAGGUGGUGAGAGCCAGCAGCAGGUCGCAAUCAGCACUUUCUUCAUGGAAUGGAGCACACAGCACAUGGGAAGGCUCCCAGGCCCCGGAGCACACACUCAACAGCUGCAGGCGCACCGGCGUCGCUCCCCUGAGGCAUGUGGGAUCCUCCCGGAUCACGGAUCAAGCCUGUGUCCCCCACACUGGCAGG